GGGGGAUAACAUCUUGCAAACGGUAGCUAAUAGCGCAUAAUCUCUGCGAGGAGAAAGCAGGGGGUCCUUCGGACCCUGCGCCAUCAGAUGAGCCUAAGUCGGGAUUAGCUAGUUGGUGGGGGUAAAGGCCUCACAAAGUCACGAUCUGUAACGGGUUUGAAAAGGUGAUCCACCCACCCCGGGACUUAARCCCCGCUCCAAAUUCUUCGGGAAGCAACAAUGGGGAAUUAUUGCCCAAUGGGGGCAACCUGAACCAACCCAUCCCCCUUUGAGAAAAAGGCCUUUUGGUUGUUAAACUCUUUUAACGAGGAGGGGAGUUUUUUAGUUUAUUCCCCGCAAUAGUGGACGUUACUCGCAGAAUAAGCACCGGCUAACUCUGUGCCAGCAGCCGCGGUAAUACAGAGGGUGCGAGCGUUAAUCGGAAUUACUGGGCGUAAAGCGCGCGUAGGCGGUUUGUUAAGUCGGAUGUGAAAUCCCCGAGCUCAACCUGGGAAUUGCAUUCGAUACUGGCAAGCUAGAGUAUGGGAGAGGAUGGUAGAAUUCCAGGUGUAGCGGUGAAAUGCGUAGAGAUCUGGAGGAAUACCGAUGGCGAAGGCAGCCAUCUGGCCUAAUACUGACGCUGAGGUGCGAAAGCAUGGGGAGCAAACAGGAUUAGAUACCCUGGUAGUCCACGCCGUAAACGAUGUCUACUAGCCGUUGGGGCCCUUGAGGCGUUAGUGGCGCAGCUAACGCGAUAAGUAGACCGCCUGGGGAGUACGGUCGCAAGACUAAAACUCAAAUGAAUUGACGGGGGCCCGCACAAGCGGUGGAGCAUGUGGUUUAAUUCGAUGCAACGCGAAGAACCUUACCUGGUCUUGACAUACUAAGAACUUUCCAGAGAUGGAUUGGUGCCUUCGGGAAUUUAGAUACAGGUGCUGCAUGGCUGUCGUCAGCUCGUGUCGUGAAAUGUUGGGUUAAGUCCCGCAACGAGCGCAACCCUUUUCCUUAGUUGCCAGCGGUUAGGAUGGGAACUCUAAGGAUACUGCCAGUGACAAACUGGAGGAAGGCGGGGACGACGUCAAGUCAUCAUGGCCCUUACGACCAGGGCUACACACGUGCUACAAUGGUCCGUACAAAGGGAUGCUACCUAGCGAGAGCAAGCUAAUCUCAAAAAACCGAUCGUAGUCCGGAUUGGAGUCUGCAACUCGACUCCAUGAAGUCGGAAUCGCUAGUAAUCGCGGAUCAGAAUUCCGCGGGGAAUACGUUCCCGGGCCUUGUACACACCGCCCGUCCCCCCCAUGGGAGGUGGGUGCACCAG
rnacentral:rRNA from 1 species